rnacentral:misc_RNA from 1 species
UCCGGUUUGGCACCGGCAGUCCCCCUAGAGUCCCCGGCAUGACCCGCUGGUAACUAGGGGCGAGGGUUGCGCUCGUUGCGGGACUUAACCCAACAUCUCACGACACGAGCUGACGACAGCCAUGCAGCACCUGUGCACGGACUCCGAAGAGGGCGCCGGCUUUCCCCGGCGUUUCCCGUGCAUGUCAAACCCAGGUAAGGUUCUUCGCGUUGCGUCGAAUUAAACCACAUGCUCCACCGCUUGUGCGGGCCCCCGUCAAUUCCUUUGAGUUUCAGCCUUGCGGCCGUACUCCCCAGGCGGGGCACUUAAUGCGUUAGCGCCGACACUCAGGGGGUCGCUCCCCCAAGCAUCUAGUGCCCAUCGUUUACGGCGUGGACUAC